CCCUGCGCUGCCCCGAGGCCGCGUCCUUGCGCCGGUGGUCGCACACGCAGUAGACGACGAUGCCCGAGAACACGGCUCCCAUGACGAACGCCAGGAUGACGGCGAUGGCCAGGAGGGUCACGGGAACCAGCUGGUCGUGGCCUUUGAGGUUUGAGAGGCCAGGAACCCGGAGCCUGCUCUCCCAAAACUGAAUGGCGACUGGGACAGCGACAGCUUCCAAGGGAAACACUAUGGAAGUAGGAGUGAAGGGACGUCGCAGCCGAGCCAGCAGGCAUUCGCGAUCGAGAGCAGAGACGGAGGAGAGAGCGCGCGCGUCGGGACAGCCUUUGUGGAAGAUAAGGCCGUGGCACUCACGCCACGCCGUGCGCCCCUCAAGUCAGCCUGCAGCCACGCACCCCGCUUGGUGCCGUGCUUCCCUGCACGGAAGCACGCUCUGUACGCACGCCUCUGCCCUCCUCCCACAGUCAGUUUGCUUUCUUCUCGCAGGCCGUGCUGCCAUUUUAUUUGUGCCUGCCAGGAUAGUGACCUUGAUCUACUUUCUGCUACGAAAAAUAAAAACCCCU